GUGAAUCAUCAAAUUUUUGAACGCAAAUUGCACUUUCUGGUAUUCCGAAAAGUAUGCCUGUUUGAUGGUCAGUUAAAUAAUAAUCGGUGUUUUUGCUAUUAAUUGUUAUGCAUCGGAAUUGAGUCUUCUUUACCUUUUGUAUUAAGUGACUUAAAAUUAUGUACGAUUUCUGAACGUAUUUAUAUUAUUUACUUACUUUCAUGCUAUCACAUAUUAGGUGCGUUCAUCCACAUUAUUUCUCGCCUAUAAUUUUGCAUUAUUUUACCUCAAAUCAGGAAAGAAUACGCGCUGAACUUAAUCA
rnacentral:misc_RNA from 1 species